ACGCUACAGAAAAACAUACAGUUAAGAACAGACUUUGAAAGACGUUACAGUAAAUGUUAGAUGGUCAGUGAUUAUUUGUUGGGGAAGAACCUGCUGCUUUAGAGAGAAAGAUGGAAUGGCAGGGGAGAGAGAGUGGGAGAGCAUCAAUAAAAUAUAGUGGUAAAGACAGUGGUGAAAAAAGGAGAGACGAAAUUUUUGAGAAAAAGAAAUAAUCACAUUUUGCUACACUUUUUGCUUUCUCACUUCAUCUUCCCUCUCUGCUCUAGUAUUCCCUACUUAGCCUACUGAAUUAGUUUGUACUCCUCCAAAAAAGAAAACGAAAAAAGCUUGGAUCUUCCAAUGAGAAUCCAGGCUUUCAGUAAUACUAUUUCAGGUAAAAACUUAUAAAUUAAUAUGGAUAGUAAUAUAUUUCUUGGUUCUCAGCUGUAAUUGUCCUCCUUCCUCCUCCCCCCCCCGCAACAAAAAGUAUUUCACUAAUAUCUAUUAGAUCAGUCUGCACAGAUUUUGUU